rnacentral:rRNA from 1 species
GACGAACCGUCCUAACGUUGUUCGGAAUCACUGGGCUUAAAGGGCGCGUAGGCGGGCCGCCAAGUCUGAGGUGAAAUCUUUCGGCUUAACCGGAAAAUAGCCUUGGAUACUGGCGGUCUCGAGGGUGGUAGGGGCAUGUGGAACUUCCGGUGGAGCGGUGAAAUGCGUUGAUAUCCAGCGGAACUCCGGUGGCGAAGGCGGCUCGCUGGACCUUAACUGACGCUGAGGCGCGAAAGCCAGGGGAGCGAACGGG